rnacentral:rRNA from 1 species
GCGGAGUGGAUUUAACUGGGGCGGUUUUUACUUUAACUGUAUUAAUUUUAAUAUAAAAAAUAGAUUUAGAUAACUUAAAUAAAAAUUUAAACAAGUUACUUUAGGGAUAACAGCAUAAUCCCCUUAGAGAGUUCAAAUCGGCGAGGGGGAUUAUGACCUCGAUGUUGAAUUGAGAAAAUUUCUAUCUGGGCAGCCCCGUAGAGAGUUAGUCUGUUCGACUAUUAAAAUCUC